rnacentral:misc_RNA from 1 species
UUAGAACCAUUGAUUUUUGAAACAUAACACAGGGAUGCAAAAGUAAUUUUGGUUGUCAAUUUUUGUGUUGUGUGGGUGAUAAUAAAUGCAUUGUAAUUUUUCUUUUAAUAUAAUGUUGCAAAAAAUUGUUAGUAUCUUUUUGAAAAUUUCUCAUGUGGGAUGUAAUUGUUGGCGUGUAGUUAGAUUAACUUAAGGGUAAAUUACU